GAAAGACACAGAGACAGACGUAGAUAGAGUGGGUGUAUAGCGGAGAAAGACACAGAGACAGACGUAGAUAGAGUGGGUGUAUAGGGGAGAAAGACACAGCUAGUCAGGAAAAUAUAGAGGGGAAGAUCAAGAGACGGUGGUUGUUGGGAAAGAGUGUGGGAAGAACAACGUAUACUCCUUCUCAUCAGGGGACGUCUUUUUCUCUUUAUGGUAGAUCGAAGUAUGCCAAGGUCAAGCUAUGACUCACGCUAAGUCCACGACGCAGGACACACACCUGCCCAAGUAAGCCAAGAUCAGGCUGUAACUCAAACCAAAGUCAAGACGUAGGACACACACCUGUCCAAGUUGGUCACGAAAAUAUAAAAUUGAUAAAAGACUCAUCAUACAGAGAUUGAACGAACUUUACAUAUUGAGCCGAUCAUUACGGUGUCCUAAAUAAAAACUGGACUCUUUAGACUUCUUUGACAUCUGAAGUAAACAAGUCAGGAAGUCAAGAAACAGUGACUAUAAAAUACUUAAAAAUGGGAUAUACGUUUAUCUCAGCAGGAUAGAAAAAGGUCAGCGUGCAAAGAAAGAAACUUGUGACUUCAAUAAGAAGAAAACAAAACGUUGUCAGUUUAUUAGUUAAUGGCAGUGACGUCCCAUUCACGGAAAGCCCUCGAGGCAUCACUGAGACUAAGAAGAAUGACAACAUCUAAAAACACAGUGGAUUUAUCGGACCAGUUCUAAACGAAAAGCGCACAUCAAAUUGACUGAUAUAUAGAGAAUAAUACGUUAGUGGUCGUUAGAUACUAUUUAUCUCACAACGACUUGUUUUAAAAUGUAUCUAACCAGCGAAAACGAGUUGUGAGAUAAAUGGUAUCAAACGGACACGA